UGGGGAAUAUUGCACAAUGGGCGCAAGCCUGAUGCAGCCAUGCCGCGUGUAUGAAGACGGCCUUCGGGUUGUAAAGUACUUUCAGCGGGGAGGAAGGGAGUAAAGUUAAUACCUUUGCUCAUUGACGUUACCCGCAGAAGAAGCACCGGCUCACUCCGUGCCAGCAGCCGCGGUAAUACGGAGGGUGCAAGCGUUAAUCGGAAUUACUGGGCGUAAAGCGCACGCAGGCGGUUUGUUAAGUCAGAUGUGAAAUCCCCGGGCUCAACCUGGGAACUGCAUCUGAUACUGGCAAGCUUGAGUCUCGUAGAGGGGGGUAGAAUUCCAGGUGUAGCGGUGAAAUGCGUAGAGAUCUGGAGGAAUACCGGUGGCGAAGGCGGCCCCCUGGACGAAGACUGACGCUCAGGUGCGAAAGCGUGGGGAGCAAACAGG
rnacentral:rRNA from 1 species